AUCCUUGUGCAGUUCAUAAGCACGAUGACUGGGUGUUCGUAAGCAUGCAUGAGAUGUGCCUCCCCUCAAACCUUGUUACAACGUCCACAUGUUACCCGUCUAAUG